rnacentral:lncRNA from 1 species
CUCUUCCUGCUCGGCGGGGUCGCGGCGGCCCCCGCUCUAGAGAGCGUGCGCCAGGGGGAAACGCAGGAGCCACGGGUGUGGCACAGAACGGAGCCCAGGGCCACAGCUGAGAGUCUUAGGAAACCCGGGAACCUGGAUGCAGGUGCGGUGGCUGGGAAGGACUGCGCCCUUUGGGAACCGUCUGGUCGACCGCGCCUUCUCUAAGCCAGCAGCACAGUUCCCACGUUUUCCUGCGGUCUUGUCAACAAAACUGCUGUUUGAGAUCUGUUUCCUACAACUAAUAAGGGAUUUGCAUUUCCAUUUCUUCGUUCUCACUGAAGCAACCGAAGCAAGUGGUAUAAUGCAGCUUUUCUACUUGAUUAAAAACCGCCAGGGCGCUGGACGCGGUGGCUCACGCCUGUAAUCCUAGUACUUUGGGGGGCCGAGGCGGGUGGAUCACCUGAGGUCAGGAGUUCAAGACCAGCCUGGACAACAUGGUGAAACCCCCGUCUCUACUAAAAGUACAAAAAUUAGCUGGGCGUGGUGGCUACUUGGGAGGCUGAGGCAGAAGAAUUGCUUGAACCUGGGAGGCAGAGGUUGCAGUGAGCCAAGAUCCGACCAUUGUACUCCAGCCUGGGCGACAGAGCAAGACUGUCCCAAAAAAAAAAAAAAAAAAAAAAAAAAGACCGCCAGGGCUUUUCCGAGGUUUUUUGUUUGAGCCCUGGCGGUCUUUUUUUUUUUUUUUUGAGACAGAGUCUCGCUCUCUCACCCAGGCUGGAGUGCAAUGGUGCGAUCUCGGCUCACUGCAACCUCCGCCUCCUGGGUUCAAGCAAUUCUGCUGCCUCAGCCUCUCGCGUAGCUGGGACUACAGGCGCCGCCACCACGCCCGGCUAAUUUUUUUUUUUCAUGUUUAGUAGAGACGGGGUUUCGCCAUGUUAGCCAGGCUGGUCUCAAACUCCUGACCUCAGGUGAUCCACCCACAUUGGCCUCCCAAAGUGCUGGGAUUACAGGCGUGAGCCACCGCACUCGGCCCCAAGUUUUUAAUAGACCACAUUUCCCAGUUUUACUGAAUUGUUUAUAACAUUAACACUGGGGAGUGGGAACUGUUGAUGAAAAGAGUUAAACUCUGUAAAAUAUCUGAAGAAAUUUAUUCUGAGCCAAAUAUGAGUGACCAAUGGCCGGUGAUAGAGCCCUCAGCAGAUCCUGAGAACAUGUCCCCAAGGUGGUUGGGCUACAACUUGAUUUUUUAUACAUUUGGUUGAAAGAAUUGUUAUCUAAAGAUCUGGAAUCAAUAGAGGGCUGGGCGCGGUGGCUCACGCCUGUAAUCCCAGCACUUGGGAGGUCGAGGCGGGCAGAUCACGAGGUCAGGAGAUUGAGACCAUCCUGGCCAACAUAGUGAAACCCUCUCUACUGAAAAUACAAAAAUUAGUGGGGCGAGGUGGCACACGCCUGUAACCCCAGGUACUCAGGAGGCUGAGAAAGCGCCACUGCACUCCAGUCUGGGUGACAGAGCCGUAUGGGGAAAAAAAAAAAAAAGAUUUGAAUGAAUAGAAAGGAAUAUCUGGGUUAAGAUAAGGGGUUGUGGAGACCAUGGAUUCAUCAUGCAGAUUAAACCUCCAGGUAGCAGGCUUUAGAGAGAUAGAUUGUAAAUGUUUCUUGUCAGACUUAAAGAGUGUGUUCUACCUGUCUUGAGGCCUGUGUUGAUGUCAAUGCUGGUCAGCUGUGCCUAAAUUCCAAACGGAGGAGGGAAUAAUGAGGCAUGUCUGGCUCCCCUUCCCAUCAUGGCCUGAACUAGUUUUUGUGGUUAAAUUUGGAAUGCCUUUGACCCAGAGGAGUGGUCUUUUCAGAUGGUUCUGGGCGUAGAAUUUUAUUUUUGGUUUACAGAACGAUUUUAUAAUGAGUUUAAAAUGCACUGAUACAUGUGUUGUACUUGCAAGCAUCCUUUUACCUCAACGGUUGAUUGAGUACAGAGGUGCUCUCAGCAUUUUGGGUGGGACUUUUCUUAGCUGGACCGGUUUGUUCUGCACAUUGCAGGGCUUUAGCAGGACUGUGGAAAGCCAACCAUAUGUUGGCAUUCCCCCACCCCACACCAGCUGAAAACUGUCCCUACACGUUUCCCUACACGUUUCCGAGCACGAGGAAGAUCCCAGGCUGAAAAUAUUCCAGAUUAUCCAGAUGCACGUUAUCUGUGUUUAAUUUCCUUGUGUUAUUCUUUUUCCUUUUUUUUUUUUUUUUUUUUUUUUGAGGUGGAAUCUUGCUCUGUCCCUCAGGCUGCAGUGCAGUGGUGCUCAGCUCACUGCAAACUCCGCUGCAUGGGUUCAAGCAAUUCUGCCUCAGCCUCCCAAGUAGCUGGAACUAUAGGCGCCUGCCACCAUGCCCAGCUAAUUUUUUUUUCUUUUUUUUUUUUUUUGCAUUUUUAGGAGAGACAGGGUUUCACCAUGUUGGUCAGGCUUGUCUCAGACUUCUGAUCUGAAGUGAUCUGCCCACCUCGGCCUCCCAAAGUGCUGGGAUUAAAGGCGUGAGCCACCAUGCCCAGCCUUACUUGUGUUAUUUUUUAAAAACCUGAUACAUAAUAAUUGUGAGGUAGACAGGGCUUGACUCUGGAGGCAGGGCUCUGACAUGGGACCAAAUUGAGGAGUAGUCAAAACAAGGAUGGGGCAGAAGUAGUUUUCCAUAAGACGUGCCCACCAGUGUGCCAUGUCAGUUUACGAUUGUCAUGGCAACAUCCAGAGCUUACUGCCCCUUUCCAUGGCAGUGAGCCGACAACCGGAAGUUACCACCCUUUUUCUAGACAUUUCUGCAUAAUCUGCCCCUUAAUUUGCAUGUAAUUGAAAGUAGGUUAUAAAUAUCACUGCAGACCUGCCUUUAAGCUACUGCUGUCAGCACACUGCCUAUAGGGUAGCUCUGCUCUACAGGGGCACUCAGGGAGCUGUUGCCAUAUCAGUAGAGCUUUUCUUCUACCAGGUAGCUCUUAAAUUCUUUCCUGAGCAAAACCAAGAACCCUCCUGAGCUAAGCCCAAUUCUGGGCUCACCUGCCCUGCAUCAGUUGCACAUCCUUGUGUGUUUUUUUUCUUUCUUUCUUUUUUUCUUUUCGACGGAGUCUCGCUCUGUCACCCAGGCUGGAGUGCAGUGGCAGAAUCUCAGCUCACUGCAACCUCUGCCUCCCAGGCUCAAGCAAUUCUCCUGCCUCAGCCUCCCGAGUAACUGGGAUUACAGGCACCCAUCACCAUGCCCAGCUAGUUUUUGUAUUUUUAGUAGAGAUGGAGGUUCACCAUGUUAGCCAGGCUGGUCUCGAACUCCUCACCUGAAGUAAUCUGCCUGCCUCGAGCCUCCCAAAGUGCUGGGAUACAGGCGUGAGCCACUGCACCCGGCCCCUUGUGUUAUUUUGAGGCUGGUUUAUUUGUUUCACCCAAAUACCAGCUAAAUCACAUCUCAAGACUAGGCUCCUCUGCCCACAUGGAGCUUCCACUUCUGCUGCCUUCCUUGAGUAUCUUGGCUUGAUAGUAAAGACAGAAUGGUUCUUUUCAAAGUAGUUACUCCAUAAAUGUUGGUUAGAAUGAAUGGUUCUCUCAGACAAAUUUCAUUCAUUCAUUCAUUAACACACAUUUAUAUCAUGGUGCCUUCCUCAUGUCUACAAACAGCAAGACAGACAAGGCCCUUUUCUUCAUAGAACUGAUAUUCUGGCAGUGACAAACACUACAAAAGUAACCAAACAAGACAUCUGCAGAUAGUGACAAGUGUGAUGAUAGUAAAUUAAUGGGUAUAGCACUAAACAGUGAUUGUGUAGAGGGUGCUUUAGAUCUGAUCACCAGGAGGCCUCAUUGAGGAAGUCACAUUUGAGCUGAGACCUGAAUACUGGGAAGAAACCAGCAGGGGAAGAUCUGGGGAAAGAACAUUCCAAUCAGCAGGUGCAUUUAUACCAGUAGGUGCCACAGUGCUUGCAUCUAUAAAAACAUCCCCCAAUAGGGACGGUCAUGAUGCUUAAUCCUGUCUUGUUCUAGGAAGAAAUAAUAAUUAUUAGUGGAUACGUUAACUUAUUGGAGUAUAAAAAGCUCUUCCUUCUCAUUAAGAGAUAUAUUUGUUUAAAAUUUUACUUUUAUAUGUUUAGUAGUCAUAGAAAUUUGUAGUAUAUUUAUGUUAUUUUGAUCAAUUAUGUACAAAAAAUAAUUAUAAUGAUCACCCAAUCUAGAAUAAAUAUUUCAUACCUAGAAUUUGAUGUCACAGGAUGUUCUUAAUUUUUAAAAUUUAAAAAUGAUCAAAAUUGUGUUGAUCAACAAAAGAUAUUUAAGCAUAAAAAUAUACUACAUUAGGAUAAAAUUCUUAGGAAUGUAGAUUGAAAUAAGAGUUUAGGGAGAAAAUGUAAUGAGAUAAAAUUUCUCAUUGUUAAAGAAAAACUUGUAUAUUUGUUUAAAUGGAUGAUGCUGGGUCAAAUUGCGAUGAUAUUUAGAUUCCAUUUGGUACAUUUUAAAGAGGGAUGACCUGCUAAUCUUUACGAUGCGUGGGAAAAUAACAAUUUGCUAUUCUUUCAACUUAUAUAGAAAAAUGACAUGCAAGUAUGUUGCAACUUUUUCAGUUUCCUUUGAGGAAGUAUGAGAGCAAAAAUAUUUGAAAAUUAUUGGUCUAGAAAAACCUUCCCUUUACAAAUUCAAACAUGUAGGUAAACUUAGGUAAAGGAAAGCAGAAAAUUAACGUUUUUGAGAGUCAAUUAUGAAUCAGUUACUUGAUAAUAUUAUUUUUUAUUGUUGCUACUACCAUCUAUCAAUGAGUAUCAUGAGCCACACAUUAUGGAUUAAUGUAGUUCUCACAACUACUCUAUAAAACACAAACUUUUACAGUAGUUUCCCCUUAUCCACGGGGGAUAUGUUCCAAGACCCCCAGGGGAUGUCUGAAACUGCAGAUAGUACUGAACCUUAUACAUACCAUGUUUUUUUCCUAUACCUACAUACCUAUGAUAAAGUUGAAUUCAUAAAUUAGUCACAGGUAGAGAUGAACAACAAUAACUAAUAAUAAAAUAGAACAAUUAUAACAGUAUGCCGGCAUCCCUAUCUUGUGCUUUGGGGCCAUAAUUAAGUAAAGUAAGGGUUCCUUGAACACAGAAAGGGUUCCUAAGAGAACAAUUUGGGGAAUGUAGUCAUCGUGGAGCCACUGGACAAAGGGAGCAUUCACCUCCGGAGAGGAAGGGGUCAGGGACAGCAUGAGAUUUAAUGGCAUGCAAUUGAAAACUUACUAUGUAUUUCUGGAAUUUUCCACAUAAUAUUUUAAAACCGCAGUUGAUCUCGGGUAACUGAAAGCUUGGAAAGCAAAACCACAGAUUAGUGGGGCACUAGUGUACUUUAAUUACCUUAUAGAUGACACUGAGAUUAAGGAUCUUGGCCAAAGUGACACAUCUGGAGAAUAUAGUAGCCAGGAUGAAAAUCCAGUUCAGCCUGCAUGCAAAAUCUUCUUUCCAUUUAGCUGUUUUGAGCCUCACUUCCCCCACUCUCUUUCCACUCUAUAAGCUUUUGAUAGCUCAUUGGAUAGAAAAUAGGUUCUCUUAAUCACUUAUUUUUUUGUCACCUUCACUAACAAAUAUUUAAAAUCUAUGGUUGAAUAGACUGUAUUUGAGAUUUAUUGCACACCGAAGAACCCAGGAUUCUAUUAGUUCCCUGCCAGGAGCAGUGGCUCAUGCCUGUAAUUACAGCACUUUUGGAGGCUGAGGCGGGCAGAUUGCUUGAGCCUGGGAGUUUGAGACCAGCCUGGACAACAUGGAGAAACCCCAUCUCUACUAAAAAAAUACAAAAAUAGACGGGCAUGGUAGUACCUGUAGUCCCAGCUACUCAGGAGGCUGAGGUGGGAGGAUCACCUGAGCCAAGGAGGUCAGGCUUCAGUGAGCCCAGAUCAUGCCACUGCACUCCAGCCUGGGCAAUAGAGUAAGACCCUGUCUCAAAAAAAAAAUAACAUAAUUCUCAUUUUUUAUAGCCUUCAGUUAUGAUUUAGAAAAGGUUUAUCUUCAUUUGGAGUUAAUUAUAUUCAAUUGGCUGCCUCUGAACUCUAACUUUCUCUGACAAGCCUUUCUGUCAGAUAGAUCAAGACUGGGUGAAAAGUUCUUUAAAAGUUCAGAGUUCUCUCUCUUUCAUUACGUUUCUUUUAUAUAUUUAUUUAUUUAUUUAUUUAUUAAAAAAGAGUCUCGCUCUGUUGCCCAGGCUGGAGUACAGUGGCACAAUCUUGGCUCAGUGCAACCUCUGCCUCCCAGGUUCAAGCAAUUCUCCCAUCUCAGCCUCCUGAGUAGCUGGGAUUACAGGCAUGCGCCACCACACCUGGCCAAUUUUUGUAUUUUUAGUAGAUACAGGUUUUCACCAUGUUGGCCAGGCUGGUUUCGAACUCCUGUCCUCAGGUAAUCCACCCACCUUGGCCUCCCAAAGUGCUGGGAUUACAGGUGUGAGGCACCGUGCCUGGCCUACAUUUCUUUUUAUAAUUUGUAAUACUGACUGUAUAUACUCUCAUUGUAAUCCUUAGUGAUAUAUACUGACACAUAGCUCUCCUAUUAUUGUGUUGCACCAAGGUCCAAAUUAUGAGGUUGAGCGUCAGCCAGGAAAAUCUUGUGUUUUCCAUAAAAUACGUAUGUCAAAAGACAGCGCUGUUGUGCCAAUUUUAAAAAGUAACUAUGUAGCACACCCACGUUCAAAACAGCAUUAUUCACAAUAGCCAAAAGAUGGAAGCAACCCAAGUGUCCAUCAAUGGCUGAAUGGAUAAGCAAAACUAGGUAAAUACAUGCAAGAAUAUUAGCCUAAAAAAGGAAGUUCUGAGACAUGCAACAACAUGGAUGAACCUUGAAAACAUGGCACUAAGUGAAAUAAACCAGUCACAAAAGGACACUGUGAUUGCACCACUGCACUCCAGCCUGGGCGACAGAGUGAGACCCUGUCUUAGAAAACAAAAAACAAAACAAAACAAAGCAAAAGACAAAUACUGUAUGAUUCCACCUACAUGCAGUACCUAGAGUAGUCAAAUUCAUAGAAAGUACAGUCGUGGUUGCUACGGGCUGGGGGAUGGGGAAAAGGGAAGUGAGUGCUUAACGAGUACAGAGUUUCAGUUUAGGAAGAUAAAAAGGUUCUGAAGAUGGACGGUGGUGAUGGUUGCACAGCAACGUGAGUGUACUUAAUGCCACAAAUUGUGCACUUUAAAAUGGUUAAAAUGGUAAAUUAAUGCCAUGUGUAUUUUACCACAAUUUAAAAAAAGACUAUACAGAACCUAUUGGUCUUUACAAAACAAAGCAAUGAAUCUUAGAUUUUUUUCCAAAAAAGUCAAUUAUAUAUAUUUUAAGUGCAAAAGCAAACUAAAGGAAGAACAUUUUGUUAAUUAGGAAGUGACAUGUUUGUAGAUGUGAUAGAACAUAGACACCUAGGUGAUUUAGUAUUUAUUCAAUAUACAAAGAACUACUAAUGUACCAUGAAAUGUAAUACAUAUUACGUUUGAUUUUUUAAGGAGGAAUUUUCAUUUUAACUCAAUUUGAGUAUUAAUAGCUAAGCCAUUCAACAUAAGUAAACUAAGAGUACUUCAUAGUAUAUAGCUAACAUACUUUCCUGCAACUGUGUUUAUUGCAUUAUCCUUUUUUAUUUC